rnacentral:rRNA from 1 species
AAUAGAUACCCCGGUAGUCCAUGCCGUAAACGUUGGGCGCUAGAUGUGGGGACCAUUCCACGGUUUCCGUGUCGCAGCUAACGCAUUAAGCGCCCCGCCUGGGGAGUACGGCCGCAAGGCUAAAACUCAAAGGAAUUGACGGGGGCCCGCACAAGCGGCGGAGCAUGCGGAUUAAUUCGAUGCAACGCGAAGAACCUUACCAAGGCUUGACAUAUACGAGAACGCUCUAGAAAUAGAGAACUCUUUGGACACUCGUAUACAGGUGGUGCAUGGUUGUCGUCAGCUCGUGUCGUGAGAUGUUGGGUUAAGUCCCGCAACGAGCGCAACCCUCGUUCUAUGUUGCCAGCGGUUCGGCCGGGAACUCAUAGGAGACUGCCGGGGUCAACUCGGAGGAAGGUGGGGAUGACGUCAAAUCAUCAUGCCCCUUAUGUCUUGGGCUUCACGCAUGCUACAAUGGCCGGUACAAAGGGCUGCAAUACCGUAAGUGGAGCGAAUCCCAAAAAGCCGGUCUCAGUUCGGAUUGAGGUCUGCAACUCG